rnacentral:misc_RNA from 1 species
AAGUCGUAACAAGGUUUCCGUAGGUGAACCUGCGGAAGGAUCAUUAUUGAAUAUGCUUGAUAGGUUGUAGCUGGCUCUUCGGAGUAUGUGCACGCUUAUCUUGACUUAAUUCAUCCACCUGUGCACCUUUUGUAGUCUUGGGGGUUGAGAUCGGUCGACUAUCGGAUGGCCAAAGGUCAUUCCGGAUGUGAGGAAUGCUGAGUGCGAAAAGCAUACAGCUCUUCUCAAAAUGACUUGUCUUCCUCGAGUACUAUGUAUUCAUAUACCACAUAGUAUGUUGUAGAAUGUGAUCAAAUGGGUCUAUGUACCUAUAAAUAAAUCAUAUACAAA